GAGUUUGAUCUGGCUCAGAGUGAACGCUGGCGGCAGGCCUAACACAUGCAAGUCGAGCGGGGGAAAGUAGCUUGCUACUGGACCUAGCGGCGGACGGGUGAGUAAUGCUUAGGAAUCUGCCUAUUAGUGGGGGACAACAUUCCGAAAGGAAUGCUAAUACCGCAUACGUCCUACGGGAGAAAGCAGGGGACCUUCGGGCCUUGCGCUAAUAGAUGAGCCUAAGUCGGAUUAGCUAGUUGGUGGGGUAAAGGCCUACCAAGGCGACGAUCUGUAGCGGGUCUGAGAGGAUGAUCCGCCACACUGGGACUGAGACACGGCCCAGACUCCUACGGGAGGCAGCAGUGGGGAAUAUUGGACAAUGGGGGGAACCCUGAUCCAGCCAUGCCGCGUGUGUGAAGAAGGCCUUAUGGUUGUAAAGCACUUUAAGCGAGGAGGAGGCUACUAGUAUUAAUACUACUGGAUAGUGGACGUUACUCGCAGAAUAAGCACCGGCUAACUCUGUGCCAGCAGCCGCGGUAAUACAGAGGGUGCGAGCGUUAAUCGGAUUUACUGGGCGUAAAGCGUGCGUAGGCGGCCAUUUAAGUCAAAUGUGAAAUCCCCGAGCUUAACUUGGGAAUUGCAUUCGAUACUGGAUGGCUAGAGUAUGGGAGAGGAUGGUAGAAUUCCAGGUGUAGCGGUGAAAUGCGUAGAGAUCUGGAGGAAUACCGAUGGCGAAGGCAGCCAUCUGGCCUAAUACUGACGCUGAGGUACGAAAGCAUGGGGAGCAAACAGGAUUAGAUACCCUGGGUAGUCCACGCCGUAAACGAUGAGUACUAGGUGUAGGAGGUAUCGACCCCUUCUGUGCCGCAGCUAACGCAUUAAGUACUCCGCCUGGGGAGUACGGUCGCAAGACUGGAACUCAAAGGAAUUGACGGGGACCCGCACAAGCGGUGGAGCAUGUGUUUAAUUCGACGCACGCGAGACCUUUACCAGAUCUGACAUCCCUUGAAUACUGUGUAAUGCAGAAGCCCUUACGGGGCAAG
rnacentral:rRNA from 1 species